GGUGAAAUCCGAUAGUGGUUAUUCGGUCACACUCGAAUUAGAACAUUCCCAUGUGAUGCCAUCUGGCGCGUGAGUUCAAAUCUCACUUUCACCU